AACGAACGCUGGCGGCGCGCCUAACACAUGCAAGUCGAACGAGAAUCCGGGGCAACCCGGUAGUAAAGUGGCAAACGGGUGAGGAAUACAUGGGUAACCUACCCUUGAGAAGGGAAUAACCCGCCGAAAGGUGAGCUAAUACCCUAUACGCUAUCUUUUUUCGAAAAGGAUAGGAAAGCCGGGUCGAGGACCUGGUACUCAAGGAGGGGCUCAUGUCCUAUCAGCUUGUUGGUGGGGUAACGGCCUACCAAGGCUACGACGGGUAGCUGGUCUGAGAGGAUGAUCAGCCACACUGGCACUGAGAUACGGGCCAGACUCCUACGGGAGGCAGCAGUGAGGAAUAUUGCGCAAUGGGCGAAAGCCUGACGCAGCGACGCCGCGUGGGGGAUGAAGGUUUUCGGAUUGUAAAGCACUUUCAGUCGGGAGGAAAGGUUGCAAGCUAAUAUCUUGCAAAGUUGACGUUACCGACAGAAGAAGCACCGGCAAACUCCGUGCCAGCAGCCGCGGUAAAGUCUAG
rnacentral:rRNA from 1 species